CACCUUCAGGAAGAUUUUUCACGCUAAAGAAGAUGAGAUCUGUGAGAAACCUGUUCUCAGAAAGGGACAAAAACCCUGCAGCUCCUCCCUCUGUUGUGGGUUUCAAUCGAUGUUAGUGGUGAAGCGCCAUCUGUUGGAGGAGGAGUCUCCACAUCCGUCUCCAUAUCCCGCUGUCCUGCCGAAGUGCAGAUAAACCCUUAAGAGACACCAUGUAAAAAUAUUUAACAGGGAUGAAGAGAAAGCCAAAGAGAGAGAGAUGGAGAUAAUGAGAUAAGCUUCUGUGAUGGAGAGUGGAAUAAAACAUGUGGCUCUGAGGUUCUUUCUAAUGAGAGGAACACAGGAACAGAGUGAGUAGAACAGUGUCAGUGAUACUUAACCCAAUACUGCAGU